rnacentral:piRNA from 1 species
UGACAGCCUUCAGUUCCUUGAGAGAUGUCU